rnacentral:tRNA from 1 species
UGGAAUCUAACUCAGUGGGAGAGCUCCAGCUUAUCAUGCAUGAGGCCCUGGCUUCAAACCCCAGCACCAA